GCCGGGGUAGCUCAGUGGUAGAGCGGCGUCAUGAAAAGGCGCGCGUCGGCGGUUCGAUCCCGUCCCCCGGCACCA
rnacentral:tRNA from 1 species